UACGUAGGGGGCGAGCGUUGUCCGGAGUUACUGGGCGUAAAGGGCAUGCAGGCGGUCGGACGCGUUUUGUGUGACAGCGGAUGGCUUCACUAUCCGAGCAUACGAAAGACGGUUUGACUUGAGGACUCGAGAGGGACACGGAAUUCCGGGUGGAGUGGUGAAAUGCGUAGAGAUCCGGAGGAACACCGAAGGCGAAGGCAGUGUCCUGGCGAGUGACUGACGCUGAGGUGCGAAAGCUAGGGGAGCGAACGGG
rnacentral:rRNA from 1 species